GCGUUUCAACCUAGAAAAGAGAUCAGAAUAACAUUAUUGAUGCCAUCUAUGGGAAACCUCAUUUUGAAAAUCUUUCAAAGAAAAAAUAAAAUUUCAUGAUUAUUGUUCUAUCUCCCACAAUGGCAUCUGACCCAAUUGAUGUCGCUGCCAGCAACAUGAAUCAUUCCAAUGGCAAUCAAACCACUAUUACUCAGAAAUUUUCCAAUCAGAGAAACGCAAAGGAAGCACAACAUGAUGACUCCUUAUCUAGAGAAUAACUUCUAGAGAAAUUGAGGGUUAUGUGAGUAAAGCUCGCUGGAGGGAGG
rnacentral:lncRNA from 1 species